rnacentral:rRNA from 1 species
ACGAACGCUGGCGGCAGGCUUAACACAUGCAAGUCGAGCGCCCCGCAAGGGGAGCGGCAGACGGGUGAGUAACGCGUGGGAAUCUACCUUUUGCUACGGAAUAACUCAGGGAAACUUGUGCUAAUACCGUAUGUGCCCUUCGGGGGAAAGAUUUAUCGGCAAAGGAUGAGCCCGCGUUGGAUUAGCUAGUUGGUGGGGUAAAGGCCUACCAAGGCGACGAUCCAUAGCUGGUCUGAGAGGAUGAUCAGCCACACUGGGACUGAGACACGGCCCAGACUCCUACGGGAGGCAGCAGUGGGGAAUAUUGGACAAUGGGCGCAAGCCUGAUCCAGCCAUGCCGCGUGAGUGAUGACGGUCUUAGGAUUGUAAAGCUCUUUCACCGGUGAAGAUAAUGACGGUAACCGGAGAAGAAGCCCCGGCUAACUUCGU